CCCUUAGAUGUUCUGGGCUGCACGCGCGCUACACUGAUGCGCUCAACGAGUUUUAACCUUGCCUGGAAAGGUUGGGUAAUCUUUUUAAAACGCAUCGUGAUGGGGAUAGAUUAUUGCAAUUAUUAAUCUUCAACGAGGAAUUCCUAGUAAGCGCGAGUCAUCAGCUCGUGCUGAUUACGUCCCUGCCCUUUGUACACACCGCCCGUCGCUCCUCCCGAUUGAGUGAUCCGGUGAAUAAUUCGGACUGCGGCAUUGACCGGUUCCCGAUCGUUGCUGCGGAAAGUUUAGUGAACCUUAUCACUUAGAGGAAGGAGAAGUCGUAACA
rnacentral:rRNA from 1 species